GAUGAACGCUGGCGGCGUGCCUAAUACAUGCAAGUCGAGCGAACGGACGAGAAGCUUGCUUCUCUGAUGUUAGCGGCGGACAGGUGAGUAACACGUGGAUAACCUACCUAUAAGACUGGGAUAACUUCGGGAAACCGUAGCUAAUACCGGAUAAUAUUUUGAACCGCAUGGUUCAAAAGUGAAAGACGGUCUUGCUGUCACUUAUAGAUGGAUCCGCGCUGCAUUAGCUAGUUGGUAAGGUAACGGCUUACCAAGGCAACGAUGCAUAGCCGACCUGAGAGGGUGAUCGGCCACACUGGAACUGAGACACGGUCCAGACUCCUACGGGAGGCAGCAGUAGGGAAUCUUCCGCAAAGGGCGAAAGCCUGACGGAGCAACGCCGCGUGAGUGAUGAAGGUCUUCGGAUCGUAAAACUCUGUUAUUAGGGAAGAACAUAUGUGUAAGUAACUGUGCACAUCUUGACGGUACCUAAUCAGAAAGCCACGGCUAACUACGUG
rnacentral:rRNA from 1 species